UUGACACAGAAAUGAGAAUAGCUAUUAUUUGAAUCAGCUGGUCGCGAGACUGGCUCUGAUAACUGAGAGACUAGCAGGUCGGCCUUUCAGGUUAUCUCCUCAUCAGGCUAAUCACGGUUUCGACCCGGCUCUGCCGGGUCUUUUUUUG
rfam:Pseudomonas sp. HPB0071 genomic scaffold aczIi-supercont1.1, whole genome shotgun sequence.